AACGAACGCUGGCGGCGCGCUUAACACAUGCAAGUCGAACGAGAAGGCGUAGCAAUACGCUUGUACAGUGGCGAACGGGUGAGGAAUACAUGGGUAACCUACCCUCGAGUGGGGGAUAACCCGCCGAAAGGCGGGCUAAUACCGCGUACGCUUCCGAUCUUGCGGGAUUGGAAGGAAAGCUGUCCCUUGGGGAUGGCGCUCAAGGAUGGGCUCAUGUCCUAUCAGCUUGUUGGAGGGUAACGGCCUACCAAGGCAUCGACGGGUAGCUGGUCUGAGAGGACGAUCAGCCACACUGGCACUGCGACACGGGCCAGACUCCUACGGGAGGCAGCAGUGAGGAAUAUUGCGCAAUGGGCGAAAGCCUGACGCAGCGACGCCGCGUGGGGGAUGAAGGUCUUCGGAUU
rnacentral:rRNA from 1 species